rnacentral:tRNA from 1 species
GGGGUUGUGGCUCAGUGGUAGAGCGCUCUCGUAACACGUGCGAGGUGCUGGUUUUGAUCCUCAGCACCACA